GAUGAACGCUGGCGGCGUGCCUAACACAUGCAAGUCGAGCGAUUCUCUUCGGAGAAGAGCGGCGGACGGGUGAGUAACGCGUGGGUAACCUGCCCUGUACACACGGAUAACAUACCGAAAGGUAUGCUAAUACGAGAUAAUAUACUUUUAUCGCAUGGUAGAAGUAUCAAAGCUCAGGCGGUACAGGAUGGACCCGCGUCUGAUUAGCUAGUUGGUAAGGUAACGGCUUAACAAGGCGACGAUCAGUAGCCGACCUGGGAGGGUGAUCCGCCACAUUGGAACUGAGACACGGUCCAAACUCCUACGGGAGGCAGCAGUGGGGAAUAUUGCACAAUGGGCGAAAGCCUGAUGCAGCAACGCCGCGUGAGCGAUGAAGGCCUUCGGGUCGUAAAGCUCUGUCCUCAAGGAAGAUAAUGACGGUACUUGAGGAGGAAGCCCCGGCUAACUACGUGCCAGCAGCCGCGGUAA
rnacentral:rRNA from 1 species